rnacentral:rRNA from 1 species
AUUGAACGCUGGCGGCAGGCCUAACACAUGCAAGUCGAAUGGUAACAGGAAACAGCUUGCUGUUUCGCUGACGAGUGGCGGACGGGUGAGUAAUGUCUGGGAAACUGCCUGAUGGAGGGGGAUAACUACUGGAAACGGUAGCUAAUACCGCAUAACGUCGCAAGACCAAAGAGGGGGGACCUUCGGGCCUCUUGCCAUCAGAUGUGCCAGAUGGGAUUAGCUAGUAGGUGGGUAACGGCUCACCUAGGCGACGAUCCCUAGCUGGUCUGAGAGGAUGACCAGCCACACUGGAACUGAGACACGGUCCAGACUCCUACGGGAGGCAGCAGUGGGGAAUAUUGCACAAUGGGCGCAAGCCUGAUGCAGCCAU